rnacentral:rRNA from 1 species
UACGAGAGGUGCAAACGUUAUUCGGAUUUACUGGGCGUAAAGGGUGCGUAGACGGUAUGAUAAGUCAACUGUUUAAUCUUCUGGCCUAACCAGAAGCUUGCGGUAGAAACUGUUAUACUAGAGGAUGGAAGAGAGAAGUGGAAUUCUCGGAGUAGCGGUAAAAUGCGUAGAUCUCGAGAGGAACACCGAUGGCGAAAGCAGCUUCUUGGUCCAUUCCUGACGUUGAGGCACGAAAGCGUGGGGAGCAAACAGG